GCACCCAUGGCGGAAUAGGUAGACGCAAGAGACUUAAAAUCUCUCGGCCACUGGCCGUCCCGGUUCGAUUCCGGGUGGGUGCA
rnacentral:tRNA from 1 species